UGAACCGCAUGGUUCAAAAGUGAAAGACGGUCUUGCUGUCACUUAUAGAUGGAUCCGCGCUGCAUUAGCUAGUUGGUAAGGUAACGGCUUACCAAGGCAACGAUGCAUAGCCGACCUGAGAGGGUGAUCGGCCACACUGGAACUGAGACACGGUCCAGACUCCUACGGGAGGCAGCAGUAGGGAAUCUUCCGCAAUGGGCGAAAGCCUGACGGAGCAACGCCGCGUGAGUGAUGAAGGUCUUCGGAUCGUAAAACUCUGUUAUUAGGGAAGAACAUAUGUGUAAGUAACUGUGCACAUCUUGACGGUACCUAAUCAGAAAGCCACGGCUAACUACGUGCCAGCAGCCGCGGUAAUACGUAGGUGGCAAGCGUUAUCCGGAAUUAUUGGGCGUAAAGCGCGCGUAGGCGGUUUUUUAAGUCUGAUGUGAAAGCCCACGGCUCAACCGUGGAGGGUCAUUGGAAACUGGAAAACUUGAGUGCAGAAGAGGAAAGUGGAAUUCCAUGUGUAGCGGUGAAAUGCGCAGAGAUAUGGAGGAACACCAGUGGCGAAGGCGACUUUCUGGUCUGUAACUGACGCUGAUGUGCGAAAGCGUGGGGAUCAAACAGGAUUAGAUACCCUGGUAGUCCACGCCGUAAACGAUGAGUGCUAAGUGUUAGGGGGUUUCCGCCCCUUAGUGCUGCAGCUAACGCAUUAAGCACUCCGCCUGGGGAGUACGACCGCAAGGUUGAAACUCAAAGGAAUUGACGGGGACCCGCACAAGCGGUGGAGCAUGUGGUUUAAUUCGAAGCAACGCGAAGAACCUUACCAAAUCUUGACAUCCUUUGACAACUCUAGAGAUAGAGCCUUCCCCUUCGGGGGACAAAGUGACAGGUGGUGCAUGGUUGUCGUCAGCUCGUGUCGUGAGAUGUUGGGUUAAGUCCCGCAACGAGCGCAACCCUUAAGCUUAGUUGCCAUCAUUAAGUUGGGCACUCUAAGUUGACUGCCGGUGACAAACCGGAGGAAGGUGGGGAUGACGUCAAAUCAUCAUGCCCCUUAUGAUUUGGGCUACACACGUGCUACAAUGGACAAUACAAAGGGCAGCGAAACCGCGAGGUCAAGCAAAUCCCAUAAAGUUGUUCUCAGUUCGGAUUGUAGUCUGCAACUCGACUACAUGAAGCUGGAAUCGCUAGUAAUCGUAGAUCAGCAUGCUACGGUGAAUACGUUCCCGGGUCUUGUACACACCGCCCGUCACACCACGAGAGUUUGUAACACCCGAAGCCGGUGGAGUAACCUUUUAGGAGCUAGCCGUCGAAGGUGGGACAAAUGAUUGGGGUGAAGUCGUAACAAGGUAGCCGUAUCGGAAGGUGCGGCUGGAUCACCU
rnacentral:rRNA from 1 species